AGAGUUUGAUCCUGGCUCAGAUUGAACGCUGGCGGCAUGCUUUACACAUGCAAGUCGAACGGGGUGGGGGGCAACUCCCAUUCAGUGGCGAACGGGUGAGUAAUGCAUCGGAACGUAUCCCGUAGUGGGGGACAACGCCGCGAAAGCGGCGCUAAUACCGCAUAUGCUCUACGGAGGAAAGUGGGGGACCUGCAAGGGCCUCACGCUAUGGGAGCGGCCGAUGUCCGAUUAGCUAGUUGGUGGGGUAAUGGCCCACCAAGGCGACGAUCGGUAGCUGGUCUGAGAGGAUGAUCAGCCACACUGGGACUGAGACACGGCCCAGACUCCUACGGGAGGCAGCAGUGGGGAAUAUUGCGCAAUGGGGGCAACCCUGACGCAGCCAUGCCGCGUGUGUGAAGAAGGCCUUCGGGUUGUAAAGCACUUUCAAUUGGGAAGAAAGGUUGCGUGUUAAUAGCACGUAGCUGUGACGUUACCUUUAGAAGAAGCACCGGCUAACUCCGUGCCAGCAGCCGCGGUAAUACGGAGGGUGCGAGCGUUAAUCGGAAUUACUGGGCGUAAAGCGUGCGUAGGCGGUUCGUUAAGUCAGAUGUGAAAGCCCCGGGCUUAACCUGGGAACUGCAUUUGAAACUGGCGAACUAGAGUUUAAUAGAGGGGAGUGGAAUUUCAGGUGUAGCGGUGAAAUGCGUAGAUAUCUGAAGGAACACCAGUGGCGAAGGCGACUCCCUGGACUCAAACUGACGCUGAGGUACGAAAGCGUGGGUAGCAAACAGGAUUAGAUACCCUGGUAGUCCACGCUGUAAACGAUGUCUACUAGCCGUUGGGAGACUUGAUUUCUUAGUGGCGCAGCUAACGCUCUAAGUAGACCGCCUGGGGAGUACGGCCGCAAGGUUA
rnacentral:rRNA from 1 species